rnacentral:tRNA from 1 species
GGAGAUAUAGCUCAGGGUUAGAGUACUUGGCUUGCAUACCCAAGGUUCUGAUCUCUAUUUCCA